UACGUAGGGGGCUAGCGUUAUCCGGAAUUACUGGGCGUAAAGGGUGCGUAGGUGGUUUCUUAAGUCAGAGGUGAAAGGCUACGGCUCAACCGUAGUAAGCCUUUGAAACUGGGGAACUUGAGUGCAGGAGAGGAGAGUGGAAUUCCUAGUGUAGCGGUGAAAUGCGUAGAUAUUAGGAGGAACACCAGUUGCGAAGGCGGCUCUCUGGUCUGUAACUGACGCUGAGGUUCGAAAGCGUGGGUAGCAAACAGG
rnacentral:rRNA from 1 species